GGAUUGUUGCUCAGUGGUUAGAGUGCUUGCCUCGCUUGCGUGGGGCACUGGGUUCAAUCCUCAGCACCA
rnacentral:tRNA from 1 species